UACAGAGGUGGCAAGCGUUGUUCGGAAUUACUGGGCGUUAAGGGCGCGUAGGCGGCCUGCUAAGUCGGAUGUGAAAUCCCUCGGCUCAACCGAGGAACUGCAUCCGAUACUGGCGGGCUUGAAUCCGGGAGAGGGAUGUGGAAUUCCAGGUGUAGCGGUGAAAUGCGUAGAUAUCCAGCGGAACACCAGUGGCGAAGGCGGCCUACUGGGCUCCACCUGACACUGAGGCGCGAAAGCGUGGGGAGCGAACCGG
rnacentral:rRNA from 1 species